AGGACGAACGCUGGCGGCGUGCUUCAUACAUGCAAGUCGAACGAGAAUCUUUAGCUUGCUAGAGAGGAAAGUGGCGGACGGGUGAGUAAUGUGUAGAGAAUCUGCCCUAGAGAGAGGGACAACAGUUGGAAACGACUGCUAAUACCUCAUAUGCGCGUAGCUGAGAUGCUAUUCGUGAAAACUCCGGUGCUCUGGGAUGAGUCUGCAUCUGAUUAGCUAGUUGGCGGUGUAAUGGACCACCAAGGCGACGAUCAGUAGCUGGUUUGAGAGGAUGAUCAGCCACAAUGGGACUGAGACACGGCCCAUACUCCUACGGGAGGCAGCAGUAGGGAAUUUUGCGCAAUGGGGGAAACCCUGACGCAAGCAACGCCGCGUGAUUGAAUAAGCCCUUCGGGGUGUAAAGAUCUGUCAGUAGGGACGGAACUUGACGGUACCUACAGAGGAAGCAUCGGCUAACUCCGUGCCAGCAGCUGC
rnacentral:rRNA from 1 species